rnacentral:rRNA from 1 species
AUUGAACGCUGGCGGCAGGCCUAACACAUGCAAGUCGAGCGAGCGACGGACGGGUGAGUAAUGGCUGGGAAACUGCCGGAUGGAGGGGGAUAACUACGGGAAACGGUAGCUAAUACCGCAUAACAGCAGAUGUGGCCAGAUGGGAUUAGCUGGUAGGUGGGGGAACGGCUCACCUAGGCGACGAUCCCUAGCUGGUCUGAGAGGAUGACCAGCCACACUGGAACUGAGACACGGUCCAGACUCCUACGGGAGGCAGCAGUGGGGAAUAUUUCACAAUGGGCGCAAGUCGUAUGCAGCCAUGCCGCGUGUGUGAAGAAGGCCUUCGGGUUGUAAAGCACUUUCAUCGGGGAGGCGUUACCCGACGAGGAAGCACCGGCUAACUCCGUGCCAGCAGCCGCGGUAAUUC